UAUCUCUUUGUCUCUUAUCUUUAGACUUAGUCUCUUUUGGACUUAGUUUGGCUAUUUUCGGGGGCUUGUCCCGACAUAUACUUUUUUUGAAAUCAGUUUUGUAUAGAGGAGUGUGAAUGGCUGUGGGCUUGGGUAUAUUGUUUAGUUUGAUGAACCUAAUGAAAUGUAUAGACAUAUCUUAGCUAUGACUUUUGUCAUUGAUGUUUCCGC
rnacentral:lncRNA from 1 species